UACAGGGGGUGCAAACGUUGCUCGGAAUCAUUGGGCGUAAAGCGCACGUAGGCGGUUCGUUAUGUCGGAUGUGAAAGCCCUUGGCUUAACCGAGGAAGUGCAUCCGAAACUGGCGAGCUAGAGUACUAAAGAGGAUCGCGGAAUUCCCGGUGUAGAGGUGAAAUUCGUAGAUAUGUCGCAGAACACCAAUUGCGAAGGCAGCUUACUAAAGUAUGAUUGACGCUGAGGCACGAAAGCGUGGGGAUCAAACAGG
rnacentral:rRNA from 1 species